CAGCGCCUACGGGGGGCAGCAGUAGGGAAUCUUCCACAAUGGGCGAAAGCCUGAUGGAGCAACGCCGCGUGGGUGAAGAAGGUCUUCGGAUCGUAAAACCCUGUUGUUAGAGAAGAAAGUGCGUGAGAGUAACUGUUCACGUUUCGACGGUAUGUAACCAGAAAGCCACGGCUAACUACGUGCCAGCAGCCGCGGUAAUACGUAGGUGGCAAGCGUUAUCCGGAUUUAUUGGGCGGAAAGGGAAAGCAGGCGGUCUUUUAAGUC
rnacentral:rRNA from 1 species